rnacentral:piRNA from 1 species
AGUUUUUAAUUACAAAGGCUA